UGGGGAAUUUUGGACAAUGGGGGAAACCCUGAUCCAGCCAUCCCGCGUGUGCGAUGAAGGCCUUCGGGUUGUAAAGCACUUUUGGCAGGAAAGAAACGACAUGGGUUAAUACCCCGUGAAACUGACGGUACCUGCAGAAUAAGCACCGGCUAACUACGUGCCAGCAGCCGCGGUAAUACGUAGGGUGCAAGCGUUAAUCGGAAUUACUGGGCGUAAAGCGGGCGCGGGCGGUUCGGAAAGAAAGAUGUGAAAUCCGAGAGCUCAACUUGGGAACUGCAUUUUUAACUACCGGGCUAGAGUGUGUGAGAGGGGGGGGGAAUUCCGCGUGUAGCAGAGAAAUGCGUAGAUAUGCGGAGGAACACCGAUGGAGAAGGCAGACUCGGGGGAUAACACUGGCGGUGAUGCACGAAAGCGUGGGGAGCAAACAGG
rnacentral:rRNA from 1 species